rnacentral:rRNA from 1 species
GGGGAAUAUUGGACAAUGGGCGCAAGCCUGAUCCAGCAAUGCCGCGUGGGUGAAGACGGCCUGCGGGUUGUAAAGCCCUUUAGGUGGGGAAGAACGAUGCCGGGUGAAUAGCCGGGUGUUAUGACAUUACCCACGGAAUAAGCACCGGCUAACUCCGUGCCAGCAGCCGCGGUAAUACGGAGGGUGCGAGCGUUAAUCGGAAUGACUGGGCGUAAAGCGUGCGUAGGUGGUGGUGUUAGUCAGCCGUGAAAGCCCUGGGCUUAACCUGGGAAUGGCGGUUGAAACGGCGCGACUUGAGUGGGUUAGAGGACUGUGGAACUCCUGGUGUAGCGGUGAAAUGCGUAGAGAUCAGGAAGAACACCGAUGGCGAAGGCAGCGGUCUGGGACCACACUGACACUGAGGCACGAAAGCGUGGGGAGCAAAC